rnacentral:lncRNA from 1 species
CAUAUUCCCCUGNAGUUUUUUAAAAUUGCAGGUCUGUUUUUGUGAUAUCCACUACCACAAAAACAGACCUGCAUAAAAACAUAUACAGAAAUUCAAUUUCAACAUAACAAAGACAUGUUCAAAUGUAUUUCAACAUCAAAUAAAGUAUAGAGUCUAAGAAAAUACAAUCUAAUCAAAUGCAAAUCUAAGAGCUAUUGUAUAAUCUAAUUAUAGACUUCGCAGCAGCUUUCCUAAUGAAUAGUAGUGGCUUCUCAAGAACUGGUUUCGUAGUCUUGAAUCUCUGCAAAAGACAAUUCAUAUUAAUUAGUGUAUAUGAAUUCAACAUUUGGGAAAAAAAUCAAAAUUUGUUAAAGUUAAAU